UACAGAGGUGGCAAGCGUUGUUCGGAAUUACUGGGCGUAAAGGGCGCGUAGGUGGCCUUCUUAGUCAGACGUGAAAUCCCCAGGCUUAACCUGGGAACUGCGUCUGAUACUGGAAGGCUUGAGUUCGGGAGAGGAAUGUGGAAUUCCAGGUGUAGCGGUGAAAUGCGUAGAUAUCUGCAGGAACACCCGUGGCGAAAGCGGCGCGCUGGACCACUACUGACGCUGAGGAACGAAAGCUAGGGGAGCAAACAGG
rnacentral:rRNA from 1 species